rnacentral:rRNA from 1 species
GACGAACGCUGGCGGCGUGCCUAAUACAUGCAAGUAGAACGCUGAAGGAGGAGCUUGCUUCUCCGGAUGAGUUGCGAACGGGUGAGUAACGCGUAGGUAACCUGCCUGGUAGCGGGGGAUAACUAUUGGAAACGAUAGCUAAUACCGCAUAAUAGUAGAUGUUGCAUGACAUUUGCUUAAAAGGUGCAAUUGCAUCACUACCAGAUGGACCUGCGUUGUAUUAGCUAGUUGGUGGGGUAACGGCUCACCAAGGCGACGAUACAUAGCCGACCUGAGAGGGUGAUCGGCCACACUGGGACUGAGACACGGCCCAGACUCCUACGGGAGGCAGCAGUAGGGAAUCUUCGGCAAUGGACGGAAGUCUGACCGAGCAACGCCGCGUGAGUGAAGAAGGUUUUCGGAUCGUAAAGCUCUGUUGUAAGAGAAGAACGAGUGUGAGAGUGGAAAGUUCACACUGUGACGGUAUCAUACCAGAAAGGGACGGCUAACUACGUG